rnacentral:rRNA from 1 species
CCUACGGGUGGCAGCAGUGGGGAAUAUUGGACAAUGGGCGCAAGCCUGACGCAGCAACGCCGCGUGAAGGAAGAAGGAUUUCGGGUUGUAAAGCUCUUUCCUCAGGGACGAAGAAAGUGACGGUAUCUGAAGAAUAAGCCACGGCCAACUACGCGUCAGCAGCCGCGGUAAUAAGUAGGUGGCAAGCGUUAUCCGGUUUUAAUGGGUGUAAAGGGCGUGUAGGCGGGACAGCAAGUCAGAUGUGAAACCCACGGGCUCAACCUGUGGCCUGCAUUUGAAACUGUGGAUCUUGAGUACUGGAGAGGCAAACGGAAUUCCUAGUGUAGCGGUGAAAUGCGUAGAUAUUAGGAGGAACACCAGUGGCGAAGGCGGUCUACUGGACAGCAACUGACGCUGAGGCUCGAAAGCGUGGGGAGCAAACAGGAUUAGAUACCCGAGUAGUC